rnacentral:tRNA from 1 species
GGUUCCAUGGUGUAGUGGUUAUCACGCCUGCUUAACACGCAGGAGGUCCCCGGUUCAAACCUGGGUGGAAUCA